rnacentral:rRNA from 1 species
ACGGAAGGCAGCAGUGAGGAAUAUUGGUCAAUGGGCGGAAGCCUGAACCAGCCAUGUCGCGUGCAGGACUACGGCCCUACGGGUCUUAAACUGCUUUUGAUUGGGGAUAAAGUGGGGGACGCGUCCCCUAUUGCAGGUACCAAUCGAAUAAGGAUCGGCUAACUCCGUGCCAGCAGCCGCGGUAAUACGGAGGAUCCGAGCGUUAUCCGGAUUUAUUGGGUUUAAAGGGUGCGUAGGCGGGCUGUUAAGUCAGCGGUGAAACCCCCGGGCUCAACCCGGGGACUGCCAUUGAAACUGGCGGCCUAGAGUACGUUGGGAGUGCGCGGAAUGUGUGGUGUAGCGGUGAAAUGCAUAGAUAUGACGAAGAACACCGAUUGCGUAGGCAGCUGACCAGGCCGUAAAUGACGCUCAUGCACGAAAGUGCGGGGAUCGAACAGGAUUAGAUACCCUGGUA